AAAAGAACCCUGCUAAAUCCGAGUUCAACCCGAGUUCACACGCCCCACUGCGUCCCAUAACACAUCCAAACCGUGUAUUGCGAACAUCUUACAAUGAUAAGUACGGGAGAUGUUCGCAAUGCACGCUGAGAUGUACAUGUAAGACGAUCUUGCUAAACCCUUCGGCCAGCAUAAAUAUCUUCUCUGUCUAAACCCUCCCUUCGAGGUUUUUGAUUCCUCCCGCUCUCUGCUAUUGAAACCCUAAUUUGUUGGGGUUUCUCUGUCUCUCUAAGCUCGAUUUCUCACUCAUCUCUGUUUCUAUUUCUGGCAUUUCUAGGGUUUCUAGGGUCAUUUUCCGUUUCUUGGUUGAGAACUAAAAAGGGCCAUCUUUUACAACAUACCGGACAAGAUGAAUUUCCUCUUCAGGAAGUCAACUUCGAUCGUUUCCAUGGCGUCGAAGCAGACUCUCACUGCUUUGAUCUCCAUGGAGGCAUUUCGAGUUCUUCAGUCCGCAACAGCGGCUGAAGCCGUUAGAAAUGGUGUUUUCGGCGGUGAAGUCAGUUCAUUUUCGUCUUAUAAGGCGGCGGAAAAGCUUGGAUUCGGGUUUGGAGUUAGGGGUUUUCAUUUCUUGAGUAGGCCGUUAGAAUUUAGGGCUUCGUCGUUUGUACAAGCGGAGUAUGCUGUAGAUGAUUUUUCGGAUGAGGAGAAGUCAGUGGGAAAGAAGGUCGGUGGAGAUAGUGAAGAAGGACUUGAUAUCUCGAAGCUCGGGAUUGCGCCGGAGAUCGUUUCUGCUUUGGCUAAGAAAGGAAUCACUAAGCUUUUCCCCAUACAGAGGGCUGUCCUGGAACCAUCAAUGCAAGGACGUGACUUGAUUGGUCGGGCCAGAACUGGAACGGGGAAAACUCUAGCUUUUGGCAUUCCCAUAAUGGACAGAAUCAUUCAGUUCAAUGCUAAACAUGGACGUGGAAGAAAUCCUUUGGCCUUGGUUUUGGCUCCAACAAGAGAACUUGCUCGGCAAGUUGAGAAGGAAUUCCAUGAAUCUGCCCCCAACUUGGAUACAAUCUGUGUUUAUGGUGGUGUUCCUAUAUCGCGUCAAAUGAACACACUUGAUUAUGGUGUAGAUGUAGUUGUUGGCACACCUGGUCGUAUUAUUGAUUUGCUUAAAAGAGGUGCUUUGGUUUUGUCGGAGGUCCAGUUUGUUGUCCUAGAUGAGGCAGAUCAGAUGCUUGCUGUGGGGUUUGAUGAAGAUGUAGAAGUAAUAUUAGACAAGUUACCUCAGAAGCGUCAAAGCAUGAUGUUCUCUGCCACCAUGCCAAGCUGGAUAAGAAAGCUGACACAGAAGUAUCUUAAAGAUCCAUUAACUAUUGAUCUUGUUGGGGAUUCUGAUCAGAAAUUGGCAGAUGGAAUUUCUCUAUAUUCGAUUGCUUCAGACAUGUAUGGGAAGGCAUCAAUCAUUGGAUCCCUGAUAACAGAACAUGCAAAAGGAGGCAAGUGUAUUGUUUUUACUCAAACAAAGCGUGAUGCUGAUCGGUUGGCACAUGCCAUGGGGCGCAGUUUUAGAUGUGAAGCUUUGCAUGGGGAUAUCUCUCAAAACCAGAGGGAAAGGACACUUUCUGGCUUCCGAGAUGGACAGUUUAACAUUUUAGUUGCUACAGAUGUUGCUGCUCGUGGGCUUGAUAUUCCUAAUGUUGAUCUGGUGAUACAUUAUGAACUUCCAAGCACAUCAGAGAUAUUUGUUCACAGAUCUGGUCGAACAGGUCGUGCUGGAAAGAAAGGAAGUGCAAUUCUCAUCUAUACAGAACAGCAGGCCAGGGCUGUCAGGAUGAUUGAGCGGGAUGUGGGAUGCAGGUUUACAGAGCUACCCAGGAUUCCUGUUGACCCAGCAAACCGUGAUAUGUUUGGUGAUAUGGGUGGUGGUGGUAGGUUUGGCUCUCAUGGAGGUGCAGGAGGUGGUCGGAGUGAUUCAGGUUUUGGUCGUGCUGGUGGCUAUUCUGGGUUAGGACGCGGUUCUGGUUUUGGUAGUCCAUCAGGUCGUAUGGGUGGACAUGGUGGAUCAAGUUCAGGGCGAUUUGGUGGUGGUUUUGGCAAUGAUGGCCCCAGUAGAUCUGGUAAUUUUGGUCGGUCAGGUGGCUUUGGUCAAUCCAGUGGUUCUGGUCGUUCCAGUGGGUUUGGGGAAUUUGGUUCAGGUCGCUCUAGUAGUUUUGGUAGUUCUAGUUCAAGUCGAUUUGGUGGUAACUUUGGUAACUCUGGUUCAAGCCGUUUUGGUAGCUUUGGCGAUGACAAUGCUAGUGCGGAUGAGGAUCAGAGGUCUGGCAGGAGAUCAUUUUGAUUUAUUUCAAGCUAAAGUGUCUGGAUGGGCCUUCUUGUAAUACCUGCUGGCUAAAGUGGGUUGCAAAAGUUCUCCAUGUGUUCUGCUCCCAUGGUCCCUAUAUGGAGUUUCGGCUGGGUAGCGCUGUACAAAAGGGCAAAAAUACUGUUCUUUACUUGAAAAACGAUAUAAGUGUGGGAUUGGGAGACAGGCUAAAGGAUUACUGGAAAACGACGGACAGUCAUACUAUGUAAAGUUGCUUUAGCGGUGUAGUUGGCAGUGGGGUGGUGUCAUGAUUUUCUUAAUGUUUUAAGUGACUCUAGAUAUCUAGGCAGAUAUUUUGCUGGUGAUAUUAUAUUACAAGUUGAGGAAGAAAAUAAGCUCAAGAUCGAAUCAUACAAUACAUGGAAAGCAGGAGAGCUCUUGUAAUCUAUUUCAAAUCAUGGAAUUGAUGUUUUUUCUCUUCAUUGAUCUUCAUCUUUUAUGUUAUUAUCCUUGCUCUGUUAUUUCUCUCCGACCAUCUGAAUUUGAUUGCAUGUUUGCAUGCGGUGCUGGUAUCAGUUUACUGUUGGCACUGGUUGUACAAGUCCAGAUUAGGCGUAAGAAAACUAUUUGAAGCUAA